CGGCGGACGGGUGAGUAACACGUGGGUAACCUACCUAUAAGACUGGGACAACUUCGGGAAACCGGAGCUAAUACCGGAUAAGAUAUCGAACCGCAUGGUUCGAUAGUGAAAGAUGGUUUUGCUAUCACUUAUAGAUGGACCCGCGCCGUAUUAGCUAGUUGGUGAGGUAACGGCUCACCAAGGCAACGAUACGUAGCCGACCUGAGAGGGUGAUCGGCCACACUGGAACUGAGACACGGUCCAGACUCCUACGGGAGGCAGCAGCGC
rnacentral:rRNA from 1 species